rnacentral:rRNA from 1 species
AUUGAACGCUGGCGGCAGGCCUAACACAUGCAAGUCGAACGGCAGCACAGAAGAGCUUGCUCUUUGGGUGGCGAGUGGCGGACGGGUGAGUAAUGUCUGGGAAACUGCCCGAUGGAGGGGGAUAACUACUGGAAACGGUAGCUAAUACCGCAUAACGUCGCAAGACCAAAGUGGGGGACCUUCGGGCCUCACACCAUCGGAUGUGCCCAGAUGGGAUUAGCUAGUAGGUGGGGUAAUGGCUCACCUAGGCGACGAUCCCUAGCUGGUCUGAGGGGAUGACCAGCCACACUGGAACCGAGACACGGUCCAGACUCCUACGGGAGGCAGCAGUGGGGAAUAUUGCACAAUGGGCGCAAGCCUGAUGCAGCCAUGCCGCGUGUAUGAAGAAGGCCUUCGGGUUGUAAAGUACUUUCGGCGGGGAGGAAGGCGGUGAGGUUAAUAACCUUGCCGAUUGACGUUACCCGCAGAAGAAGCACCGGCUAACUCCGUGCCAGCCGCCGCGGUAA